GCCCGAAUUUGGGUGUGUCAGUGGACCUGAUUGUGCAUUUGGGUGUACUGCAGUACUGAAGAACCGGUUCAGGGUCUACCCCGAAGUCAGCUGAGAAAGGUGCUAGCACACCCACGACCUUUAGUCAAGAGUCCGGGUGGUGUUCUGGAGGGCCCGGUCCUUGUCCAGCAGGGGCACACAGGUGCAGCCCACCGCGAUCGACACGUAGACCUCCGAAUAGGAGUGACGCCCCCCGACACAAGAACCGGACCUCCUGAGGACCACGGAAGGAGCGUAGACGGGAGUGCUCCGAUGGUACCGGCUCUCCUGCCGAUGUGGCCCGGUCAGGCAGCCUUUACACAGGCAGCCCAGGGCGAAACGCUGAGGAGGUUGAGCGGGAGUCGACUCUCGCUCUCCGCCGCCGACGAUCGCCCGGGGGCGGCGCUGGGGCAGCUCCGGUUGACGCUGCCUUGGGGCUCC